rnacentral:rRNA from 1 species
UGGGGAAUCUUGCGCAAUGGGCGAAAGCCUGACGCAGCCAUGCCGCGUGAAUGAUGAAGGUCUUAGGAUUGUAAAAUUCUUUCACCGGGGACGAUAAUGACGGUACCCGGAGAAGAAGCCCCGGCUAACUUCGUGCCAGCAGCCGCGGUAAUACGAAGGGGGCUAGCGUUGCUCGGAAUUACUGGGCGUAAGGGAGCGUAGGCGGACAUUUAAGUCAGGGGUGAAAUCCCGGGGCUCAACCUCGGAAUUGCCUUUGAUACUGGUUGUCUUGAGUAUGAGAGAGGUGUGUGGAACUCCGAGUGUAGAGGUGAAAUUCGUAGAUAUUCGGAAGAACACCAGUGGCGAAGGCGACACACUGGCUCAUUACUGACGCUGAGGCUCGAAAGCGUGGGGAGCAAACAGG